UCAUCCUCUCUUCGCCGUUUUCUCACUUCCACAUCUUAGACCUAAUCUGUUGAGCCUUUCGACUCCCACCCCUCCUGUUUCUCAUCUUUUCAUAUCCUUUUUGACGAUUAAUUCACCCCUACCAUCUCUAAUCUAUCAUUCCCAAACUCAUUCAAUUGAUUCCUUUCACUUUCCUCUCUGUUUUUCUAUUUAUAAGCUUUUUUCAUUUCUUAUUUCUCCACCGAAAUUGCUAAUCUACUCUUAAACACUCAACCUGAUGGAUCCCACCGGAAACUCUUCACUCUCCGGCAUCCGCGAGAACGGCAAGAAGACCGUCGCCUCCUCUGCAAAUCCGAAACCAAACGGGAAGUCCACUGAGAAAUGCAGGAGGCCGUCAUUGGAUCGCUGACUACGACGAGGAAGAUUGGAAACCGCUCAAGUUUGUGUCUUUUAGUUCUGCAACUCCCUCUCAAUUGAUUUCUAGAAAGUUUCUCUCUAAAAAUGACAGGAGGCAGUGCACUUUAGGGCACAGUGUAAGGAGAGGAAGUUGAUUACCGUACGGCGGAUUGCCUCGCUGAAGAAUAAUGUAGCGGUUGAUUUUCACCACCAUAACCGUUACUGACAUCGCUGGAAACAAAAAAAAGGAAAAAAGAUGCCAAGAAAGAAGAUUUCAGGAAGUAUUUAGAGUUCAGUAGAGUUAUUGAUUCUCUAACCAAAGUUGUUUCGUAUGAGCAGAAUGACAAGUCUUCCUCUGCUUUAGAGUCAGUAAGUUCCUGGACACCUACUUUGUUUCUAACCAGUAUGUACCCAGGUGAUGAUAGCUUCUACGAACUUUGUCGGGUGGAACUGGGUUGCUCUUGCCAGGCAGUCAUGGUACUGCUGUGGAGUCACGCAAGAAGCUAUCAGAAGAAGUCUAAAACUUUGAUGUGCAAGAUACCGACUCCGUAUCAUCAUGCAGAGCACCUUCUGCGAGCUUCUUCUUCUCUACAACCAAACCUAUCAACAGUUCUUCUCCUUCCUCAGUAAGACUCCUCUCGGUUUCUUGGAACUCGGGUUGUGAAGCUCAGUAUCCUACUCGGACCCCCCCAAUGGAUCUAGAGCCACUUGCUGGUUCAAGUUCGGAAAGGUGAGAAUGCUGGAAUCUAUGGCAGCCAAUCACGGGAUGAUUUCGACAGAGACGAUGUUGAACAGUAUUUCAACUAUAUGGGGAUGCUUGCGGUGGAAGGAACCUUAGAUUGUCAUGCAUAUAUUUAAGUUUAAA